CUUUGCCUCAGUCACUAAUUUCCUUCUUUCGGAUACUUAACUUGAUGGGUGAAUCAUCUGGGGGAAGGAGAGUGGCAGACAAUGAGGGAGACAUGAAUCCUAAUGCCCUUAGUUUCCUGAUCUGAUGCCGCUGUGACUACAGGGGAGAGAAACACCAGGAGCCAUGGCGGAGGUCAGAGUGGAGUGGGGAGCAGCCAGAGAGGACUUCCUGAGGGAGGCGGCCAAGGCUCAAAGAAGGAGUGGGAGUGAAUGAAUUUCAGCCAAAUAUUCUUGAAAGCAGGAAGAUAAAUACAGUCUGAGGUUCUGCCUGGAGUCCAUCAAACCCUUCACUUGUGCUUAAAACAUGACAACGAUAUUAAAGAAGUUAAAUUCC